rnacentral:ncRNA from 2 species
GGAUGGAAUAGAGGUGCAGACAACAAGAGUACUUUCAGGGAGAUUGGUUUUUAUGAUCUGAAAGAAAAGGGUUGUUUGCCGAAGUGCAAAAGACACCAAAUCUUUUGUGCUGGUCUUUCAUUUAAUAGAUGUAAGACUGUCACUAGAAUUAAUUUUCUAGUGGAGUGCUAUCUUAUCU